rfam:Ixodes scapularis strain Wikel colony gcontig_1107728761212, whole genome shotgun sequence.
UCCUGGUUAGCUCAGUUGGUAGAGCGCUCCAUUGACAAUGGAGAGAUCUCUGAUUCAAUACCAGGACCAGGCA